UGUCUUUGUACGGCAUCUAACCUUUUC
rnacentral:piRNA from 1 species